AGAGUUUGAUCAUGGCUCAGAUUGAACGCUGGCGGUAGGCUUAACACAUGCAAGUCGAGCGGAAACGAUGUAGCUUGCUACAGGCGUCGAGCGGCGGACGGGUGAGUAACGCGUAGGAACCUACCUAGUAGUUUGGGAUAGCCAUUGGAAACGAUGAUUAAUACCGGAUACGCCCUACGGGGGAAAGAGGGCUUCGGCUCUCGCUAUUAGAUGGGCCUGCGUAAGAUUAGCUAGUUGGUGAGGUAAUGGCUCACCAAGGCGACGAUCUUUAGCUGGUUUGAGAGGAUGAUCAGCCACACUGGGACUGAGACACGGCCCAGACUCCUACGGGAGGCAGCAGUGGGGAAUAUUGCACAAUGGGCGCAAGCCUGAUGCAGCCAUACCGCGUGUGUGAAGAAGGCCCUAGGGUUGUAAAGCACUUUCAGCGAGGAGGAAAGGUUAGUAGUUAAUACCUGCUAGCUGUGACGUUACUCGCAGAAGAAGGACCGGCUAACUCCGUGCCAGCAGCCGCGGUAAUACGGAGGGUCCGAGCGUCAAUCGGAAUUACUGGGCGUAAAGCGUACGUAGGCGGUUUGUUAAGUUGGAUGUGAAAGCCCAGGGCUCAACCUUGGAACUGCAUUCAAAACUGAUGAACUCGAGUAUGGUAGAGGUAAGUGGAAUUUCCUGUGUAGCGGUGAAAUGCGUAGAGAUGGGAAGGAACAUCAGUGGCGAAGGCGACUUACUGGACCAAUACUGACACUGAGGUACGAAAGCGUGGGUAGCAAACAGGAUUAGAUACCCUGGUAGUCCACGC
rnacentral:rRNA from 1 species